CCCAGACUCCUACGGGAGGCAGCAGUGGGGGAUAUUGCACAAUGGGGGAAACCCUGAUGCAGCGACGCCGCGUGAGUGAAGAAGUAAUUCGUUACGUAAAGCUCUAUCAGCAGGGAAGAAAAUGACGGUACCUGACUAAGAAGCCCCGGCUAACUACGUGCCAGCAGCCGCGGUAAUACGUAGGGGGCAAGCGUUAUCCGGAUUUACUGGGUGUAAAGGGAGCGUAGACGGCAGCGCAAGUCUGAAGUGAAAUGCCGGGGCUUAACCCCGGAACUGCUUUGGAAACUGAGCAGCUAGAGUGCAGGAGAGGUAAGUGGAAUUCCUAGUGUAGCGGUGAAAUGCGUAGAUAUUAGGAGGAACACCAGUGGCGAAGGCGGCGUACUGGACUGUAACUGACGUUGAGGCUCGAAAGCGUGGGGAGCAAACAGGAUUAGAUACCCUUGUAGGG
rnacentral:rRNA from 1 species